rnacentral:tRNA from 1 species
GUCCUCGUAGCUCAACUGGAUAGAGCAUCCGCCUCCUAAGUGGAAGGUCACAGGUUCAAGUCCUGUCGGGGACG